ACUCAAAGGAAUAGACGGGGACCCGCACAAGCAGCGGAGCGUGUGGUUUAAUUCGAUGCAACGCGAAGAACCUUACCAGGGCUUGACAUGUACUCGCACCGGUCAGAGAUGGCCGUGCCCGCAAGGGACGAGUACACAGGUGCUGCAUGGCUGUCGUCAGCUCGUGCCGUGAGGUGUUGGGUUAAGUCCCCUAACGAGCGCAACCCCUAGCGUUGGUUGUACUUUUCCAGCGCAACUGCCCGUCAGGGAGGAAGGAGGGGAUGACGUCAAGUCAGCACGGCCCUUACGUCCUGGGCGACACACACGCUACAAUGGCCGACACAGAGGGCUGCAAAGCGGCAACGCGGAGCCAAUCCCAACAAAGUCGGUCCCAGUUCAGAUCGGUGGCUGCAACCCGCCACCGUGAAGUCGGAGUUGCUAGUAAUCGUGGGUCAGCACACCACGAUGAAUACGUUCCCGGGUCUUGUACACACCGCCCGU
rnacentral:rRNA from 1 species